UACGUAGGGCGCAAGCGUUGUCCGGAAUUAUUGGGCGUAAAGAGCUCGUAGGCGGUUUGUCACGUCGGGUGUGAAAGCCCGGGGCUUAACCCCGGGUCUGCAUUCGAUACGGGCAGACUAGAGUGUGGUAGGGGAGAUCGGAAUUCCUGGUGUAGCGGUGAAAUGCGCAGAUAUCAGGAGGAACACCGGUGGCGAAGGCGGGUCUCUGGGCCGAUAUUGACGCUGAGGAGCGAAAGCGUGGGGAGCGAACAGG
rnacentral:rRNA from 1 species